CUCGAUAGAAUUGGCAUUGAAGUGAAGA
rnacentral:sRNA from 1 species